rnacentral:rRNA from 1 species
GUCUGUGAAGGAGAUGGGGUGACCCUCUCUGGAGAUAUCGGAAGUGCGAAUGCUGACAUGAGUAGCGACAAACAGUGCGAGAAACACUGUCGCCGAAAGUCCAAGGGUUCCUGCGCAAGGUUAAUCCACGCAGGGUUAGUCGGCCCCUAAGGCGAGGGCGAAAGCCGUAGUCGAUGGGAAUCAGGUGAAUAUUCCUGAACCUG